GAUGAACGCUGGCGGCGUGCCUAAUACAUGCAAGUCGAGCGAACGGACGAGAAGCUUGCUUCUCUGAUGUUAGCGGCGGACGGGUGAGUAACACGUGGAUAACCUACCUAUAAGACUGGGAUAACUUCGGGAAACCGGAGCUAAUACCGGAUGAUAUUUUGAACCGCAUGGUUCAAAAGUGAAAGACGGUCUUGCUGUCACUUGUAGAUGGAUCCGCGCUGCAUUAGCUAGUUGGUAAGGUAACGGCUUACCAAGGCAACGAUGCAUAGCCGACCUGAGAGGGUCAUCGGCCACACUGGAACUGAGACACGGUCCAGACUCCUACGGGAGGCAGCAGUAGGGAAUCUUCCGCAAUGGGCGAAAGCCUGACGGAGCAACGCCGCGUGAGUGAUGAAGGUCUUCGGAUCGUAAAACUCUGUUAUUAGGGAAGAACAUAUGUGUAAGUAACUGUGCACAUCUUGACGGUACCUAAUCAGAAAGCCACGGCUAACUACGUG
rnacentral:rRNA from 1 species